rnacentral:rRNA from 1 species
AACGAACGCUGGCGGCAGGCCUAACACAUGCAAGUCGAACGCCGUAGCAAAACGGAGUGGCAGACGGGCGAGUAACGCGUGGGAAUAUCCUCCUCGGUACGGAAUAGCCCAGGGAAACUUGGAGUAAUACCGUAUAUGUCCGCGAGGAGAAAGAUUCACCGCCGAGGGAUUAGCCCGGGGAGGAUUAGCUAGUUGGUGAGGUAACGGCUCACCAAGGCGACGAUCCUUAGCGGGUGUGAGAGGACGAUCAGCCACACUGGGACUGAGACACGGGUGAGACUCCUACGGGAGGCAGCAGUGGGGAAUAUUGGACAAUGGGCGCAAGCCUGAUCCAGCCAUGCGGCGUGAGUGAUGAAGGCCUUAGGGUUGUAAAGCUCUUUUGGCGGAAACGAUAAUGACGGUACCCGCAGAAUAAGCCCCGGCUAACUUCGUGCCAGCAGCCGCGGUAACAC